rnacentral:rRNA from 2 species
GCGGCGGACGGGUGAGUAACACGUGGGCAACCUGCCUGUAAGACUGGGAUAACUUCGGGAAACCGAAGCUAAUACCGGAUAGGAUCUUCUCCUUCAUGGGAGAUGAUUGAAAGAUGGUUUCGGCUAUCACUUACAGAUGGGCCCGCGGUGCAUUAGCUAGUUGGUGAGGUAACGGCUCACCAAGGCAACGAUGCAUAGCCGACCUGAGAGGGUGAUCGGCCACACUGGGACUGAGACACGGCCCAGACUCCUACGGGAGGCAGCAGUAGGGAAUCUUCCGCAAUGGACGAAAGUCUGACGGAGCAACGCCGCGUGAGUGAUGAAGGCUUUCGGGUCGUAAAACUCUGUUGUUAGGGAAGAACAAGUACGAGAGUAACUGCUCGUACCUUGACGGUACCUAACCAGAAAGCCACGGCUAACUACGUGCCAGCAGCCGCGGUAAUACGUAGGUGGCAAGCGUUAUCCGGAAUUAUUGGGCGUAAAGCGCGCGCAGGCGGUUUCUUAAGUCUGAUGUGAAAGCCCACGGCUCAACCGUGGAGGGUCAUUGGAACUGGGGAACUUGAGUGCAGAGAGAAAGCGG